rnacentral:rRNA from 1 species
UACAGAGGUCUCAACCGUUGUUCGGAUUCAUUGGGCGUAAAGGGUGCGUAGGCGGUCGUGUAAGUCAGGUGUGAAAUCUCAGGGCUCAACCCUGAAACUGCACUUGAUACUGCGUGGCUCGGGUACUGGAGAGGAGACUGGAAUUUACGGUGUAGCAGUGAAAUGCGUAGAUAUCGUAAGGAAGACCAGUGGCGAAGGCGAGUCUCUGGACAGUUACCGACGCUGAGGCACGAAGGUCAGGGGAGCAAGCGGG